rnacentral:rRNA from 1 species
CAUAGGUUAAUGAGGCGAACCGGGGGAACUGAAACAUCUAAGUACCCCGAGGAAAAGAAAUCAACCGAGAUUCCCCCAGUAGCGGCGAGCGAACGGGGAGCAGCCCAGAGCCUGAAUCAGUAUGUGUGUUAGUGGAAGCGUCUGGAAAGGCGCGCGAUACAGGGUGACAGCCCCGUACACAAAAAUGCACAUGCUGUGAGCUCGAUGAGUAGGGCGGGACACGUGGUAUCCUGUCUGAAUAUGGGGGGACCAUCCUCCAAGGCUAAAUACUCCUGACUGACCGAUAGUGAACCAGUACCGUGAGGGAAAGGCGAAAAGAACCCCGGCGAGGGGAGUGAAAAAGAACCUGAAACCGUGUACGUACAAGCAGUGGGAGCACGCUUAGGCGUGUGACUGCGUACCUUUUGUAUAAUGGGUCAGCGACUUAUAUUCUGUAGCAAGGUUAACCGAAUAGGGGAGCCGAAGGGAAACCGAGUCUUAACUGGGCGUUAAGUUGCAGGGUAUAGACCCGAAACCCGGUGAUCUAGCCAUGGGCAGGUUGAAGGUUGGGUAACACUAACUGGAGGACCGAACCGACUAAUGUUGAAAAAUUAGCGGAUGACUUGUGGCUGGGGGUGAAAGGCCAAUCAAACCGGGAGAUAGCUGGUUCUCCCCGAAAGCUAUUUAGGUAGCGCCUCGUGAAUUCAUCUCCGGGGGUAGAGCACUGUUUCGGCAAGGGGGUCAUCCCGACUUACCAACCCGAUGCAAACUGCGAAUACCGGAGAAUGUUAUCACGGGAGACACACGGCGGGUGCUAACGUCCGUCGUGAAGAGGGAAACAACCCAGACCGCCAGCUAAGGUCCCAAAGUCAUGGUUAAGUGGGAAACGAUGUGGGAAGGCCCAGACAGCCAGGAUGUUGGCUUAGAAGCAGCCAUCAUUUAAAGAAAGCGUAAUAGCUCACUGGUCGAGUCGGCCUGCGCGGAAGAUGUAACGGGGCUAAACCAUGCACCGAAGCUGCGGCAGCGACGCUGAUGCGUUGUUGGGUAGG